rnacentral:rRNA from 1 species
UACGUAGGUGGCAAGCGUUGUCCGGAUUUACUGGGCGUAAAGAGCGCGCAGGCGGUCGUGCAAGUCGCGUGUGAAAGCCCCCGGCUCAACUGGGGAGGGUCACGCGAUACUGCUCGACUCGAAGGCAGGAGAGGGAAGUGGAAUUCCCGGUGUAGUGGUGAAAUGCGUAGAUAUCUGGAGGAACAUCGGUGGCGAAGGCGGCAUCCUGGACCGGCAU